UGAGGAAUUUUGCGCAAUGGGAGCAAUCCUGACGCAGCAACGCCGCGUGGGUGAUGAAGGCCUUCGGGUCGUAAAGCCCUGUCAGGUGGGAAGAAUGUCCCGGAACUGAACAGGUUUCGGGAGUGACGGUACCACCAGAGGAAGCACCGGCUAACUCCGUGCCAGCAGCCGCGGUAAUACGGAGGGUGCAAGCGUUGUUCGGAAUUACUGGGCGUACAGCGCGUGUAGGCGGUCCUGCAAGUCUGAGGUGAAAGCCCCGGGCUUAACCCGGGAAGUGCAUUGGAAACUGCAGGUCUUGAGUACGGUAGAGGAUGGGGGAAUUCCGGGUGGAGAGGUGAAAUUCGUAGAGAUCGGGAGGAAUAUCAGUGGCGAAGGCGCCCAUCUGGACGGUAACUGACGCUGGGACGCGAAAGCGUGGGGAGCAAACA
rnacentral:rRNA from 1 species